UAUGUGUUAACUACCUGGAUCCACACUUGGAUCUAUACUUGCUAACGUGAAGACUUCCUGAGCAGGCCAAGCCCCUCCAUGAAAGUUAACAGAGGAUUCACUAUGCCUUGAGUAAUUUGUAAAGGAUGAGUGAACUGAGAAAAGCCAGCUGUCUGACAACAGGAUUAAAGCUGUUAGUCUGGUCUGUCUGUACAACCAAUGUAUCAGGGUCAAAAAAAGCGGAGAAUUACCAACAGCAAGUAUAUGCUGUCAGUGAUCCUACUUUUGUCUCCCAAGUCCUGUAACCUUGGACACGCACUGCUUGCAUGGAUCUGGGAUGGAAGAAGACAAAAUGAAAAGAAUGGGAACGAUAAUUGGAUAAAAAUAGCAAAGAAGUAAGCAAAGAAAACAAAAUAAUACAAGAGCUAGACACAAUGUAUAACUGAGAAAAUAAAUGUUCCAGGAUAUUGAAAAAAAAAGCAGUAGCAGAGGAAGAUGAAGGAUUUGAUGGGAAGAGUCAAGGGUGUGUGAACCGAAAAAUUGUUGCUCAGCUGGGGUAAGGGUCAAUUUAACUGUCAUCUCCACAGGGUCACAAUGGACCUGUCUGCUUCCUAAGUCUUCCCCAACAGUGCCCAGGGGCCAUAGCCUCAUGUCAGCCCUCAGGGCUCUUACUCCCUGCCCCAGUGAUGCUGCAGUGGGACUACUAGUCUCCAGCUCCCUGUAGCCCCACAGACUCAUGUCCCAGCUUAACUUCAGCCUAGCCCUGUCUCCAUAGACAGGCCCUGGACCUAAGUCUAGAGCUGCCCCAAUACCUCUAGCUGCUCAGCUUCUGUGUAUAUUGGUUGAGAGGACCUUGGAUGUGGCCCUGCAGCCUAUAGAGUAUCCAGAAAAUAAUUCUACUACCUACAGCUGAGCUGCCAAUUCUGCCAUGAAAUACAAAGUUUUAAAAUUUACUCAGCUGCUUUGCACGUAUUUCUGCAGUAACACUAUAUACAAACAGAAAAGGGGUGUCUUUAGUUAUUCCCUGGUUACUUAGCUCAGGUAAUUAGGUCAUUAUGCUCUUGAACCCAUGUGCUGUUGAAUUACGCUUGAAUAAAUAGCUGAUUUUCUCAGUUCACGUCCUACCCAAAAAAUCUGCUUCAACAGGCAGAAUGUUAAUACUGUAAAGUUAAUCUAAUGGAUAUUUAAGAAAUGCAUUCACAUGUAUAAUUUUUUUUCCUUUAUGUGGUUUGUAGUGCAAAUGCUGAGUCAAGGCUUGAACCAGUGAUAGAGCACUAGUAAGAAGGCAGGACCAACCCAAGGGAGCUCAGGUGCAUGCAAUGUGCCUGAGUGACCAAAAGGGGUGGAGCCAGGAUCCACCCCUUCCCAGUCCUCAUUUAAGGGCUGGUAGCGGAGGCAAAGGUAUCUUUUUGGAGGUCCCUCUGUACCUGAGGCAUUCUGGAGGUAAGUAUCUUCUUUUCCUUAUUUCUUGCCUGCUGUUGUAUUUAAGCAAAUUUUCUCUUUCUGUAGCCUGGGACCUUGUUGCUCUCUUGUCAUAAUUGGACAUUUCAUUGUGUUGCAGGUUGCAUUCUGAUGCCCUCUGUAAUUAGGUACUCAUAUACGUUGUUACCCUUCUUUAGUUCCUACUGGCAACAGACUGGAGGGAAAUAGCAUUGCCUCUUCUAUGUAUCUCUGCUCUUUAUUGUAGAAAAUGAAGUCCAUUUCACAGCAAUGGAUUACCUUGAUGACAGCCACCUGAACUGAGUGACCCUCUGCCACCAUCUGUCACACGGCAACAGCAUGCAAUGGAAUAUUGAUGGGAAGGUUCAACUUCUACUGCCAUACUACCAACAUCCACCUUUGAUGUCAUAGGCCAACAUCAUAAAGUAGGAGGGACUACUUUCAGAGUAGCUCUUGAAGAUGCAGAAGGACCACAUACAGCUAGGCACAGAUGAUGAAUCUCAGCUGAAAAAAAUCAGAUGGUUGGAGACUACAGAGUGCUGGGCUUCCAGCUUUCAGUGCAGGAGAUGGCAGAAGAAAGCAGGCGAUGUACAGGAAGAUUUACAGAAUUGCUGCCUGGACAGGAAAAGAAACUACCCAUGGAACUUCUCCAGACAACCUACCAGAAAGAGGAAUAGGUUGGUAAAAUUAAAGUUAUUGUAAUGUUUGCCUUUUUUUUAGCAUUAGUUUAGCAUUAGUAAGUUGCACCACCGAAUACUUGAUUUUUUCGGUUCUAGA